rnacentral:rRNA from 1 species
AGUGAACGCUGGCGGUAGGCCUAACACAUGCAAGUCGAACGGCAGCAUAGAGGAGCUUGCUCCUUGGGUGGCGAGUGGCGGACGGGUGAGGAAUACAUCGGAAUCUACUCUGUCGUGGGGGAUAACGUAGGGAAACUUACGCUAAUACCGCAUACGACCUACGGGAGAAAGCAGGGGAUCUUAGGACCUUGCGCGAUUGAAUGAGCCGAUGUCGGAUUAGCUAGUUGGCGGGGUCAAGGCCCACCAAGGCGACGAUCCGUAGCUGUUCUGAGAGGAUGAUCAGCCACACUGGAACUGAGACACGGUCCAGACUCCUACGGGAGGCAGCAGUGGGGAAUAUUGGACAAUGGGCGCAAGCCUGAUCCAGCCAUACCGCGUGGGUGAAGAAGGCCUUCGGGUUGUAAAGCCCUUUUGUUGGGAAAGAAAUCCAUCUGGUUAAUACCCGGGUGGGAUGACGGUACCCAAAGAAUAAGCACCGGCUAACUUCGUGCCAGCCGCCGCGGUAA